rnacentral:lncRNA from 1 species
AUGAGACUUGUUCCAGAGUAUUCAGUUGACUUCCCAAGUAGAGACCUGCCUUUUGCUUCCUUUAUCUGGCUACUGAGACAGAGAUUCCUGGGAGUCAGCCUGCCAUCAAGUCAACUGUUUUGCCUCAGAUGUUUCAGCCCAGGUUCAACUUUGGAAAUUCAGAUUCUUAUGUCUUCAGGUCCUGCGCCUCCAUUUGACUUUCCAUCUCUUCCACUGAGGACUGUAGAGUUAAGUCAGGAAAGAAAAUGGCUGUGCACAGAGGGAGAAUUGAUCACUGUCUGUUCUUCAAAGACACUUCUGUGGCAGUGGUUGGGGCUGUUAGUGCUCACUGCCCUGACAGAGACCUGCUUCAACAGGGUACGAAGGGAUUUUAGAGUCUUGGCUUUUUAUCUAUUAAGAAACAAUUAAGAGGAAGAUAAGGAAUAGCUGUGGGAUAGUCAGUGAAGUGAAGUCACUCCGUCGUGUCUGACUCUUUGCGACCCCAUGGACUGUAGCCUACCAAGGUCCUCCAUCCGUGGGAUUUUCCAG